AAAAAAAAACACCGAUACAGUCGAUUCAUACAGUCCAGAGGUAUCCUCCGUUCUCCCAUCAAAAGGCCUUCGGGAAUCGGAGCAAGAAUUCUGGCGGAGCCCAUAGCUCAUGCAGAACUAUUCCUCUCGCCUCUAUCAAAUUCCCCAUCAACUCUGAUCGAAGCAGCAAUACUCUGAAGGAAUCGACAAUCAAGUUGCCGGCGGAUGGAGUAGAGCAAUUUCUGCGCAACAAUCCGGCUGGAGUUUUUGUUGCCGCUGAUCUGCAGCGACAGGGAGAGAGAUCCCACCUAUUGCUUUAAACUGCUCUACAAGCAUUCGAUUCCAAUUGCUUUCCCCAGAAGGCUCCAUUGGGGGAUUUUUCCUCGCUUCGGAAAGAAUCUGGUCGUAGUAGCGAUACAUGUGUGGUGACUGAGUCUGUUUAUGGAUAUACUAUAUUUGGAAUUCAACCGUCGAGCGUCUGCACUGAGGUUUGCUUCUCCAUUGAUGCUCAAUGGCAAUUAAGGAGCGCAUUUCCUUUUUGAAGCAUGAGGGAACGCUCAGUCAGAGAAUCGAAUAGGUGGUUGCUGAAGUUUUUGUAGCAAACAAAAACCCUGCUGUUAUAAUAAGACAACAAAGCAGGGAAGUUUAUACAGACAAGAAAUAAUGGACUGUAAUAAAGAUGAGGCUGCAAGGGCUAAAGAGAUAGCCGAGGAGAAAUUUACGGCAAAGGACAUUGUGGGGGCUAAAAAAUUUGCUUUGAAGGCAAAAAAUUUAUUUCCGGGGCUUGAGGGUAUCUCCCAAAUGUUAGCCACGAUUGAUGUCUAUAUGUCUGCUGAAAACAAAAUAAAUGGAGAAGUAGAUUGGUAUGCAAUACUCGGUGUGAAUCCACGAGCUGAUGAGGAAACAGUGAGGAAACACUAUAGGAAGCUAGCUCUUGUUCUUCACCCUGAUAAGAACAAGUCUAUAGGAGCUGAUGGGGCGUUUAAGCUUAUUUCUCAGGCUUGGAGUCUGUUGUCUGAUAAAUCCAAAAGAGUAGUAUAUGACCAGAAGAGGAAUGGUAGAGUCAACAAAAAGGUUUCAACUUCAAGGGGGAGUUCAUCUUCACAAUCUGGGAGAAAUGGUUUUUACAAUUUCGCAAAUAGUGCUGCUAUGUCGUCGAAUAUCAGGGGACAGAAAAGUGCCACCCGAUCAGAUCAUUCUUCUGUUUCAUCUCAAAAAUCAAGACCGACCUUUUGGACUGUGUGCCAUCGGUGCAAGAUGCAGUACGAGUAUCUCAGAGUUUAUCUAAAUCAUAAUCUUCUUUGCCCCAACUGUCAUGAGCCAUUUCUUGCCAUUGAAACACCCCCACCCCCUUUAAAUGGUGUGAAGUCUAAUGGAUGGGAUUUUACACAGCCAAGUUAUCAAACUGGCAGUAAAACUGCGUAUAGUCGAGGGAGGAGCAAUAUAGCCUCAUCAUCAUACAUGGGACCAGGUGAAUUGAAUCACUCUACACAGAGCCCAAGUGACCUUCAAUGGGGUCCUUUCUCAAGAAUGGGAGGUACUUCAUCUGCGGCUCAAGCUGCAACUGUAGUUCAGCAGGCGUAUGAGAAAGUGAAAAGGCAACGUGAGGAGGCACAAGCUGCCAAAAGAGAGGAACGCAGAAAGCAUCAGAUGUCUAGGAAAGGCUCUGGUGCUUCAGGUACAGGGUACUCUGGUGCUGUAAAAAGAAGAAGAGGUAUAGAUGACAUUUCCUCCAGUUCCCAUGCAAGAGAUAUAACCAAUCAGUCAAAAACUGGCAUUGGAAGGACAAGGUCGGCCAAUCUGUCUGGUUGUACCAGGGGUAAUGUAAAUGGAAAUACCACACUCAAGAGCUCUCAGGAUGUCUCUCUUAGUGAACUUCAGAAUUUAUUAGUGGAGAAGGCCAAGAAGGAAAUAAGGAAGAUGUUACGUGAAUUGAAUUCAACAACUUUAACUACCGGUGCAGUCAAAGAGGGAAAUGAGAAUGAGAAGGUAACUGGGAAGGGAGAAACAGCUCCGGUCUCAUGCAAAAAGCAUGCUAAAGACAUGCCAAUAGAAUUUCUGAAUACAACUAGUGGUUUUCCAGGCAAUUUAAGUCCCAGUGAUGCAGAAACAAUGUUAAUAAAUGUCCCUGAUCCAGAUUUUCACGAUUUUGAUAGAGACCGUACAGAAAGCUCUUUUGGAGAUAAUCAAGUCUGGGCUGCUUAUGAUGAUGAUGAUGGCAUGCCUCGACGUUAUGCCUGGAUUCAUAGUGUAGUAUCUUUGAACCCAUUUAAACUGAAGAUUAGUUGGCUAAGCUCAAUAACGAAUAAUGAAUUGGAUCGACUGAGCUGUGUUAGCUCUAGUUUCCCAAAAACUUGUGGGGAUUUUGGAACUGGGAGGUGUGAGAUUUAUAGCUCCCUUAAUUCUUUUUCGCACAAGGUUCUAUGGUCAAAAGGCACUUACGGAGACAUUUGCAUACAUCCCAGAAAGGGAGAUGUUUGGGCUCUUUACAGGAAUUGGUCCCCGGAUUGGAACGAAGUGACAUCAGAUGAGGUAAUACACAAGUAUGACAUGGUUGAAGUUCUUGAGGAUUAUAAUAAAGAACUGGGUGUUACCAUUACUCCCCUCGUCAAAGUGGCUGGUUUCAAGACCGUAUUUCACCAGCACUUGGACCCAAAACAAGUUCGAAGGAUUCCUAAAGAUGAGAUAUUUCAGUUUUCUCAUCUCGUACCUUCACAUUUGCUUACAGGUCGAGAAGCCCCAAGUGCUCCCAGAGGUUGCAGGGAACUGGACCCUGCAGCCAUGCCAGUCGACCUUCUUCAUGUCAUUGAAACUGCCAAGGAAGAAGAAAUCAUAGAGAUUGAGGACUUGAAGCCACAAAGUUCUGUGAAUGAGAUUAUAGAUGUUAAUGACGAAAAGACGGAAAACAAACCUAAGGAAGGAAGGAAGGAGAAUAUAGUCAAACCUGUAGCAGUAGAAGUUGCGGAAGAUGUCCUAGAACUUAAACUGGUCAAGAAGACAGUGCACUCCAAUGAAAUGGAAGUUUCUUGAACAUUGGAUUAUCCGGUCUUCAUGAAUAUAAAUGGUAAACCUUUGCGGAAGCUGAUUGGAAAUAGUUGACAACUUUAGCAUUCUGACCAUUUUUUUUUUCUCUUCAAGGAUUUAUUAGAUGGAUCCGUACUUGAAAUCAUAGCUUAUAAUGUUACUAUACAUUUUAACUAAAAGAUCUUUUAGAAGGUUAAUCUAUACCCUUUUUAUGCCACUGUAGCAGCUUGUGGAAGCUCCCUCGAGUCGUGUAUAUUACGUGCUAAACAGAACCACGUUCCUAGGAUUUUGCAAGUUCAGUAUGUAUUCCCUCUCAUAGCUGUCAGUUUGUGGCCUACUCAAUUUACCAUGAAGUGGCUAUUUGUUGCUACCCUCAACUCGGGUUCGUGUUCCAUAUAAAGAAAAUGAAGAAGGUGAAUAUUGAAUGUUGUGGACGACGCUUCUCUUUCGACGAAUAAGAGAGAAGAGGCCUUAAUGAGAAUCAGCAGUUCAUUGAGCAGCUGUUUGGAUUCAUUCUCUUGCUUCUUGAGCAGCUGUUUGUGCCUGAACUGAAGUAAGUUGAAAGGGGUGGGGAUGGAUUAAGUUUGAUUUUUUUUCUUCUUAUGACCACUUUAAUCCGAUUAACCUACGUGCUCGAUAGUGGAUAUUAGUUCACUCGACACUUCAGUUGUCGUGUUGUGCUACGUAAUCUUUAAUUAAUACAAUUAGCAUUCCUAAUAAA